GGGGGGUAGAGCCGCAAGGUUAAAACUCAAAGAAUUGAGGGGGGCCCGCACAAGGGGUGGAGCAUGUGGUUUAAUUUGAAGCAACGCGAAGAACCUUACCUGGUCUUGACAUAUCAAGAAUCCUGCAGAGAUGCGGGAGUGCCUUCGGGAAUUAGAAUACAGGUGCUGCAUGGCUGUCGUCAGCUCGUUUCGUGAGAUGUUGGGUUAAGUCCCGCAACGAGCGCAACCCUUGUCCUUAGUUACCAGCGGUUUGGCCGGGAACUUUAAGGAUACUGCCAGUGACAAACUGGAGGAAGGCGGGGACGACGUCAAGUCAUCAUGGCCCUUACGACCAGGGCUACACACGUGCUACAAUGGUAGGUACAGAGGGCAGCUACACAGCGAUGUGAUGCGAAUCUCAAAAAGCCUAUCGUAGUCCAGAUUGGAGUCUGCAACUCGACUCCAUGAAGUAGGAAUCGCUAGUAAUCGCGGAUCAGAAUGCCGCGGUGAAUACGUUCCCGGGCCUUGUACACACCGCCCGUCACACCAUGGGAGUUGAUUGCUCCAGAAGUGCUUAGCCCAACAAGUAGGACGGCGNAACCCCUAGAGUGUUGCGG
rnacentral:rRNA from 1 species